GAGAGGUGCGUCUAGCGACCGCCCACAUGUCACAACGAAUUUUAGAGUGGUUUAUUCGUUUUUUACCAAAAAACAAAAAAAACGAAAAAUCAACCCGAAAUCUCGUUUUUCGUCUUUCGGUAAAAAACGAAAAAACGAACAAAGGCGCUGUUUUCUCGUUUCUGCUUAUUUCAUUUGAAGUUGAAAAACAAACUAUCAAAAGGUACACGGACCGUUCUGCUUCCCCAGAGAGAACUGCUCCCUUCCCCCACACAGACGCCUCAGCUGAACUUCUGCUCUCACUCACUGCAACGAUACCUGAAGCGGGAGUUUACUAUUCACCUCACGAUUCAUGAACGGUUUUUCAUCGACUUAUCUUUGAUUUAUUUGAAGGAAAAGACCCUGAUGGAUAAAAGAUGGAUAUUUUUUUCCUGGAGAAGCUAAAACAAUGUAACUUUGAGGUUCUGAUACCAGCUUUUACAAAGUUACUUACAGAGUUCACCAGACUUCUCUGUGGUAUUUCCUGACCAUGCCGAAAAGCUAUUUGAAACUUGGGCACUGCAUUUUACAGACAGAAUCCUGCAACUUCCCAGCCAAGAACCAGGAGCAUCAACAAAUCACCUCCAGAACCACAUGAUGAUAUUCCAACUCCUGUCUACAAAAGUGGGAAGAAAAUCUUAAGUCUAUGUUGGGACCAACAUGGUUGCAUUCUUCUGAGAGGCUGAUGUGACAAAACCAUUCCCAUUUGUCCUUGGAUUGGAAGAUGGCGAUCUCUGCCAUCAAGCCUUCGUUGUUUUUGACAGACAGUCACUCCAGCAAUACACCCUCCUUGGUGAUGUUGACAUGUUUUGAACUUUUUUUUAUGUUUUGGACAUUAAUUUUACUAAGCAGUGCACAUCAGUGUGGGUGUUUUUGAAGACUGUUGUUUACAAACUCCCAAGAACGGAAUCCCUUUCUAUAAGAAGUCUGUGAAGUUAUUUGUCAUGCUAAGGUGAUAACUCAUGUUGAUCAUAUAUUCACUGUUUGUGCAACUUUGUGUUGAUCUUAUGUGUUACAUUAACCAUUUCUUAUUACACGGUUCUCUAAAAUGCUAGAUUCUGAUUGGCCAGUCGUGACAUUCUACUACUGCUCAAAACUAAAAACUCCAAUGCUGCAAAUAAUUUUGACAGGUACAGUUUUAUAUUACACAAAAAUUAAAUAUCAAUGUCUAUUAAUUACAUAUCCGACAUUAAAUUUAUAAAUGAUUAAAUGUGUUCGUGACAUUUGUCCUGAAGAAACUGUUGGGGCUUUUUUCUGUGAUGACAUGCUGCCAAUACAUUAUCCCUUACUUGUACAACUUUUUACUUGAUCUAAUUGUAAUGUUAACUGGGUCUCUGUCAUUUUAGAUUGUGAGAUAUAAUACUAAUAUUUUUUUUAUAUAUAUUUAUUUAUUUAUUUAUAUAUAAUAUAUAAACGUUUGUAUGUUUAUUAAAAAGUGAAAAUGCUUAAUGGAAAUAAUUAAAUAACUAAAUGGUUGAAUGAAAUGAGACAUUUUAAAUGUAAACUA